CAGUCUUCAGUUCCUCCCAGCCCAUAACUAUGGCAGCAAUGUGUUGAGGCGAGUUGAAGACUUU
ensembl:miRNA